UACGGAGGAUGCGAGCGUUAUCCGGAUUUAUUGGGUUUAAAGGGUGCGUAGGCGGAUCGUUAAGUCAGUGGUCAAAUUGAGGGGCUCAACCCCUUCCCGCCAUUGAAACUGGCGAUCUUGAGUGGAAGAGAAGUAUGCGGAAUGCGUGGUGUAGCGGUGAAAUGCAUAGAUAUCACGCAGAACCCCGAUUGCGAAGGCAGCAUGCCGGCCUCCGACUGACGCUGAAGCACGAAAGCGUGGGGAUCGAACAGG
rnacentral:rRNA from 1 species